UACAGAGGUCUCAAGCGUUGUUCGGAUUCAUUGGGCGUAAAGGGUGCGUAGGUGGCGCCGUAAGUCAGGUGUGAAAUUUCGGAGCUUAACUCCGAAACUGCAUUUGAUACUGCGGUGCUUGAGGACUGGAGAGGAGACUGGAAUUCACGGUGUAGCAGUGAAAUGCGUAGAGAUGUGGAGGAAUACCGAUGGCGAAGGCAGCCCCCUGGGAUAACACUGACGCUCAUGCACGAAAGCGUGGGGAGCAAACAGG
rnacentral:rRNA from 1 species